AUCUUUUUAGUAUAAAAAAUAUAAUUGACUUCCAAUCACUUGACUUUAGUUUAAUCUAAAAAAAGAUA
rnacentral:tRNA from 1 species